AGCUCCAAUAGCGUAUAUUAAAGUUGCUGCGGUUAAAAAGCUCGUAGUUGGAUCUGGGUAGUCGAUGGACGGUGCGUCGUAAGGCGCUACUGUUCGUUCGGCACCACAGCCCGGUCAUGUCUUGCAUGCUCUUCAUUGAGUGUGCUUGGCGGCCGGAACGUUUACUUUGAAAAAAUUAGAGUGCUCAAAGCAGGCGUUAAGCCUUGUAUAAUGGUGCAUGGGAUAAUGGAAUAAGACUUUUUGCCUUGUU
rnacentral:rRNA from 1 species